CCUACGGGGGGCAGCAGUGGGGAAUAUUGGACAAUGGGGGGAACCCUGAUCCAGCGACGCCGCGUGAGUGAAGAAGUAUUUCGGUAUGUAAAGCUCUAUCAGCAGGGAAGAAAGAAAUGACGGUACCUGACUAAGAAGCCCCGGCUAACUACGUGCCAGCAGCCGCGUGAAUACGUAGGGGGCAAGCGUUAUCCGGAUUUACUGGGUGAAAAGGGAGCGUAGACGGCGAGGCAAGUCUGAAGUGAAAGGCGGGGGCCCAACCGGGGCCUUGCAGCGGGAACGGGCGUGCUUGAGUCCGCGGAAGGCAGGCGGAAGUCGUAGUGUAGCGGUGAAAUGCUUAGAUAUGACGAAGAACCCCAAUUGCGAAGGCAGCUUGCUGCAGGGGAACUGACGCUGAGGCUCGAAAGCGCGGGUAUCGAACAGGAUUAGAUACCCUUGUAGUC
rnacentral:rRNA from 1 species